UUACACGAACCAUUACAACGUCCCCGUCAGCUUUACCGGGUUUUGAAAGAAUUUCUAAACCAGGCAGUGACCCUUUUUUAAUAUCACCAACUUCCUGGCUCGAAAUGGCAAACUGAGAAACUCUUUCUUCAAAAUUUUUCAGUACUUCAGUAGGUGCAACUCGAACCUUAUCCACUGUGAAAAUGCGAACAAAACCAUCACUGGAACCGCAAACUAAAUCACCGUUUGGAAGGGAGGAAACACUCCAAACACUAGUUGUCGGUAAAGUAAUACAUUGUAAGCACUCUUUACCUUUCCAAAUCCUGAUUGUACGAUCCUCACCACAAGAUGCGAUCAGCUGCUGGUUGUGGA